rnacentral:lncRNA from 1 species
UUCAAAAGUGGUUUACUCUUAACACAGGUCACCUGUGUUCAUUCUGGUGUUACCUUUAUCUGUUGCAAUCCUAGCUCUGGUUUAAUGCAUUAAUACUUGCUGGCUCUGCAAAGGUCUGAGGAUGGGAAAUCUGAGGUGAGUGCUGUCGGCAAGUAGCAACUAUGCUUACCUUCUGGAUAGCAGAAAUGGCUGCAAAGUCAUUCCUGUCAAUGAGGGUGUACUUCCUGCGCAAAGUGGACUCCACUUCCUGUUCCUGUUGGCUUGGGAGACAGCAAGAGAGAACAGCUUGUACCUGGGGCCAUGCUGAAUCCACUGGGGCAAGAACCAAGUACUGGGGUUAAAAGUCAUAUGGGUGAGGCCCCUUGUGUGGGGCCACACCUUCAUCAUGAACCAGACCAGACAAAAGGACAAAGGACUCACUUCCCCCUGCCCCAUUGCAUAUACCCACUGUCCGACCCCCAUACCCACAAGGGCUACCUUAUGUCAUGUGUGUCUGCUCCAAGAUGACACUUGAUAAGGACCGUAAGCUUCACUUGGGACCAUGUGGGGUUCUGUCUUAGGUUCUGUCUCUAAGAGGCCACUUGGAAUCACAUGACCAGCUUUAGUGACACCACCUAGCAUAAGCUGCUCAGACUAUGGGUAUGUUUGCACCCAAAUAAACCACAAAUGCCUCCUGAGGUGGGAGUGUGUGUUGCAAUAUUCACAAGGUGAAUAUUCACAAUGCCCUGCUCUGGGCACUCUCAGAGCUGGCACUCCAUAAACACCUCCUGUCCAAUUAAUGAACUCACUGAAUAUCCACCAGGGACCCAGGCAUGCCCCCAAGGACUCUGAUUUGGCUCUUCAUCCACAAGCAAGAAGAGGAGCUCUUGGAGGCAAGUGCCCAGAUGGCAGGAGAUGAAAAUGGCAGCCUGAUGUAGGAAUGAGGUAGGGGUGGGGGUCUCUCACCUCAGAACCACCCGGAACUGGUUGAACACCUCCUUGAUCUGUCUAAGGCUGAUUAUCUGGAGGGAAGACAGCAAGGCAGAGGUUAGACCAAGGGCACCUCGAGGGACCAGGGGGCAUCUAUGUUAGUAGAGAAAUCAAGACCCCUUGGCUGACCCCUGGACCAUCUGUCUCGAGAAGAGGACGUGUGCACACAGCCUCUCAGCGAAGUGGCAGCCAAGCCCUCCUCCAGAGCAGAGAAACACCUGAUUAAUAAUUUUAAAACUAAGUAUUUGCUGAGGCUAUAAAAACCACCUUUUCGAAGUGGAGACCUCUAUAAAAU